rnacentral:rRNA from 1 species
GACGUAGGGCGCGAGCGUUGUCCGGAUUUAUUGGGCGUAAAGAGCUCGUAGGCGGCUUGUCGCGUCGACUGUGAAAUCCCGCGGCUCAACUGCGGGUCUGCAGUCGAUACGGGCAGGCUAGAGUGAUGUAGGGGAGACUGGAAUUCCUGGUGUAGCGGUGAAAUGCGCAGAUAUCGGGAAGAACACCCGUGGCGAAGGCGGUUCUCUGGGACGGUACUGACGCUGAGACGCGAAAGCGUGGGGAGCGAACAGG